CGGCUAAGUUGUUGGAUGUCAGCUCUAGAAUUUAUUGAGUCAUGGAUACUUAUUUGUUACAUCUCAAAAAUUAGCCGAUUGUUCAAGUAUGGCUCCCUAUUUAAUAUUUUGACGUCUUCAAAAUUGAAGUUGUGACUUUCGUUCAGGCAAUGUUCGGCCAAGGCUGUUUUUGUCUAGCUUAGCCCUGAGGAUGGAAAUAAAUUUUUCCGAAACGUCGGCGAACUAACAGAGUAUCAUUUUCCUGUUUCUCUGAUCCUACACCACCAAUCUAUAGUGAAAUUAAAUUUUGGAUCACCACUUCAGAUCUUGUGAAAUAAUUUAUGGUUAUUUUUUGACAACAUCAUCUCUAAUAUGGGUUUUAUGGAGGACAUCAAGCACCGUUAUGGUAUGGAAACUUUAAGAAACUUCAAACAAUGGGCAAAUCAGGUGAACAAGCGAGCAAGUCUGGAAAAUCACAGAAAGUUUCUUUUACGUUGUAGAAAACAAAGAAUUUUACCAUCUCAUAUCACACGUUACUCUAAAUGCA